rnacentral:rRNA from 1 species
GGGGAAUCUUGCGCAAUGGGCGAAAGCCUGACGCAGCAACGCCGCGUGCGGGAUGAAGGCCUUCGGGUUGUAAACCGCUUUCAGCAGGGACGAAAAUGACGGUACCUGCAGAAGAAGCUCCGGCUAACUACGUGCCAGCAGCCGCGGUAAUACGUAGGGAGCGAGCGUUGUCCGGAUUUAUUGGGCGUAAAGAGCUCGUAGGCGGUUCCGUAAGUCGAGUGUGAAAAAUCUGGGCUCAACCCAGUGAAGCACUCGAUACUGCGGUGACUAGAGUACGGUAGAGGAGUGUGGAAUUUGUGGUGUAGCGGUGAAAUGCGCAGAUAUCACAAGGAACACCAACGGCGAAGGCAGCACUCUGGGCCGGUACUGACGCUGAGGAGCGAAAGCGUGGGGAGCAAAC